rnacentral:rRNA from 1 species
GAUAAACGCUGGCGGCGUGCUUAACACAUGCAAGUCGAACGAAGUUUUUCUUUCGGGAGGAACUUAGUGGCGGACGGGUGAGUAACGCGUGGGUAACCUGCCCUGUACAGGGGGACAACAGCUGGAAACGGCUGCUAAUACCGCAUAAGCCCUUAGCACUGCAUGGUGCAUAGGGAAAAGGAGCAAUCCGGUACAGGAUGGACCCGCGUCUGAUUAGCCAGUUGGCAGGGUAACGGCCUACCAAAGCGACGAUCAGUAGCCGAUCUGAGAGGAUGUACGGCCACACUGGAACUGAGACACGGCCCAGACUCCUACGGGAGGCAGCAGUGGGGAAUAUUGCACAAUGGAGGAAACUCUGAUGCAGCGACGCCGCGUGAGUGAAGAAGUAUUUCGGUAUGUAAAGCGCGAUCAGCAGGAAAGAAAAUGACGGUACCUGACUAAGAAGCACCGGCUAAAUACGUG